rnacentral:rRNA from 1 species
AUGAACGCUAGCUACAGGCUUAACACAUGCAAGUCGAGGGGCAGCAUGAACUUAGCUUGCUAAGUUUGAUGGCGACCGGCGCACGGGUGAGUAACACGUAUCCAACCUGCCGAUGACUCGGGGAUAGCCUUUCGAAAGAAAGAUUAAUACCCGAUGGCAUAGUUCUUCCGCAUGGUGGAACUAUUAAAGAAUUUCGGUCAUCGAUGGGGAUGCGUUCCAUUAGGUUGUUGGCGGGGUAACGGCCCACCAAGCCUUCGAUGGAUAGGGGUUCUGAGAGGAAGGUCCCCCACAUUGGAACUGAGACACGGUCCAAACUCCUACGGGAGGCAGCAGUGAGGAAUAUUGGUCAAUGGACGAGAGUCUGAACCAGCCAAGUAGCGUGAAGGAUGACUGCCCUAUGGGUUGUAAACUUCUUUUAUACGGGAAUAAAGUGAGGCACGUGUGCCUUUUUGUAUGUACCGUAUGAAUAAGGAUCGGCUAACUCCGUGCCAGCAGCCGCGGUAAUACGGAGGAUCCGAGCGUUAUCCGGAUUUAUUGGGUUUAAAGGGAGCGUAGGCGGACGCUUAAGUCAGUUGUGAAAGUUUGCGGCUCAACCGUAAAAUUGCAGUUGAUACUGGGUGUCUUGAGUACAGUAGAGGCAGGCGGAAUUCGUGGUGUAGCGGUGAAAUGCUUAGAUAUCACGAAGAACUCCGAUUGCGAAGGCAGCUUGCUGGACUGUAACUGACGCUGAUGCUCGAAAGUGUGGGUAUCAAACAGGAUUAGAUACCCUGGUAGUCCACACAGUAAACGAUGAAUACUCGCUGUUUGCGAUAUACAGUAAGCGGCCAAGCGAAAGCGUUAAGUAUUCCACCUGGGGAGUACGCCGGCAACGGUGAAACUCAAAGGAAUUGACGGGGGCCCGCACAAGCAGUGGAGUAUGUGGUUUAAUUCGACGCAACGCGAAGAACCUUACCAAGGCUUGACAUAUACAGGAAUAUAUAAGAGAUUAUAUAGCUCUUCGGAGUCUGUAUACAGGUGGUGCAUGGUUGUCGUCAGCUCGUGUCGUGAGAUGUUGGGUUAAGUCCCGCAACGAGCGCAACCCUUACUGUCAGUUACUACGCAAGAGGACUCUGGCAGGACUGCCGUUGACAAAACGGAGGAAGGUGGGGAUGACGUCAAAUCAGCACGGCCCUUACGUCCGGGGCUACACACGUGUUACAAUGGGGGGUACAGAAGGCAGCUACACGGCGACGUGAUGCCAAUCCCGAAAGCCUCUCUCAGUUCGGAUUGGAGUCUGCAACCCGACUCCAUGAAGCUGGAUUCGCUAGUAAUCGCGCAUCAGCCACGGCGCGGUGAAUACGUUCCCGGGCCUUGUACACACCGCCCGUCAAGCCAUGAAAGCCGGGGGUACCUGAAGUGCGUAACCGCAAGGAGCGCCCUAGGGUAAAACUGGUGAUUGGGGCU